rnacentral:rRNA from 1 species
GAGUUUGAUCCUGGCUCAGAACGAACGCUGGCGGCGUGCCUAACACAUGCAAGUCGAACGGUGAAAAUGAGGCUUCGGCCGAAACACGAGUGGCGCACGGGUGAGUAAUAUAUGGGUAAUCUGCCCUCGAGUGGGGGAUAACGUUUCGAAAGGAACGCUAAUACCGCAUAACCCGCUUUGAACACAAGUUCUUAGCGGCAAAGAUGGCCUCUGCUUGCAAGCUAUUGCUUGAGGAGGAGCCCGUAUCCCAUUAGGCAGUUGGUGAGGUAACGGCUCACCAAACCUACGAUGGGUAGCCGGCCUGAGAGGGUGGCCGGCCACACUGGAACUGAGACACGGUCCAGACUCCUACGGGAGGCAGCAGUGAGGAAUUUUGGGCAAUGGGCGCAAGCCUGACCCAGCGACGCCGCGUGGGCGAUGAAGGUUUUCGGAUCUUAAAGCCCUGUGAGUUGGGAAGAAGGGGUUAGUUGCUAAUAUCAACUAAUUCUGACAGUACCAACAGAGGAAGCCCCGGCUAACUACGUGCCAGCAGCCGCGGUAAUACGUAGGGGGCAAGCGUUGUUCGGAAUUACUGGGCGUAAAGCGCGUGUAGGCGGUUUAAUAAGUCAGGAGUGAAAUCCCUCGGCUCAACUGAGGAACUGCUUUUGAAGCUAUUAAACUUGAGUAUGGGCGGGGAGAGCGGAAUUCCCGGUGUAGCGGUGAAAUGCGUAGAUAUCGGGAAGAACACCAGUGGCGAAGGCGGCUCUCUGGACCAUCACUGACGCUGAGACGCGAAAGCGUGGGGAGCAAACAGGAAUAGAUACCCUGGUAGUCCACGCCCUAAACGAUGGGUACUUGGCGUAGGNAGUAUUUAAAUCCCCCUUUGCCCGAGCUAACGCGUUAAGUACCCGCCUGGGGGAGUACGGUCGCAAGGCUGAA